AUGGCAUCGCCAUAUAAAUAGAGAUUUGAAAAGGAUGCAGAAUGAGCCUGGCUCAGAAGGUCCCGGCAGAUUCCUGAAGCUUUGAAUAUGGAUUCAAGCAGAGCCCAAACACAUCCUCAAGUCAACUUCUGGAAAUAAAUUCAAUUGAAGAGAAGAGAGAGACCUUUGACUAUUAUGAGGUUACAACAGAGGAAGCCUCUGAUAGAAAAAGGAGAACAGGGUGGGGGCUGAGCCAAGACAGGAAGGAGAGUUCACCUGUGUGGAGAGAGAGAGAUCUGACAAGUAAGGGAAGAGAAAGGAAAUGAGUCCCAGUCAACUGAAUCAUCCUGGAGGCAACACUGACCACUGAAAACCAUGUGACCAGGCCAAUCUUUUUUUUUUUUUAAUCAUAAUGGAAAAAACAACCAAACUGAUCCCAUGGCUAGAAUGGGGCGCAGCAGGUGGACAGUCCAUUUACUCUACUGAGUCCCAAAGGAGUAUGGGAAGUGAAACUGACUGAACUGACAGUAACUCACCAUAUGACAAUUUGGAAUGGCUUAUGAAGGAAGGGACUUCUGAGACAGGAAGAAUUCUAAACAGGAGAGCCAGCCUUCCCCCAUGCCCCACCUGGAGGUGACAAACACCCUCAGAGGGAGUCAAAGGGAAGAAAUGCCUGCCAAUUCUCAGCUAAGGGUUGUGGCACUGAAAAGAAUUGUUGGUUGCUUUGAUUACAUACUUAUGCUCAACUACUUUUGUACUCACUACAUCAUACUUGUCCUGGCUCUUGCCCACUCCUGGAUGUUGGCUCUAUCUGUGGAGGAAUGAGUCCCUGGUUCUUGG